rnacentral:rRNA from 1 species
CGGCGUGUCUUAACACAUGCAAGUCGAACGAUGUAUCCCAGCUUGCUGGGGGAUUAGUGGCGAACGGGUGAGUAACACGUGAGUAACCUGCCCUUGACUCUGGGAUAAGCCUGGGAAACCGGGUCUAAUACUGGAUAUGACCUUCUGGCGCAUGCCAUGUUGGUGGAAAGCUUUAUUGCGGUUUUGGAUGGACUCGCGGCCUAUCAGCUUGUUGGUGGGGUAAUGGCCUACCAAGGCGACGACGGGUAGCCGGCCUGAGAGGGUGGACGGCCACACUGGGACUGAGACACGGCCCAGACUCCUACGGGAGGCAGCAGUGGGGAAUAUUGCACAAUGGGCGCAAGCCUGAUGCAGCGACGCCGCGUGGGGGAUGAAGGCCUUCGGGUUGUAAACCUCUUUCAGUAGGGAAGAAGCGAAAGUGACGGUACCUGCAGAAGAAGCGCCGGCUAACUACGUGCCAGCACCG